rnacentral:lncRNA from 1 species
UCAUCUCACGUGGUAAAAAUGCUGCAUAGACGCGGUCUUGCAUCAUUUUAAAAAGGAGAUAAGAGAGAGCAUGUGCACUGAUGAUCAGAGAAAAAAGGGUGGCAUGAAAGAGGUUUCUGGCAUGAGAAAAGAAAAGAAAAGAAGAGAAAAAGGAGAGAGAAGUGGGCGCACUCUUUUCUUGUGUACCCUAGGGUUUUGGCUUAGGGUUCGAGAAUUGAGAACGUGAGCUACGAGUAUUGUGAGCCCAC